GGGGAAUAUUUGGGCAAUGGGCGCAAGCCUGACCCAGCAACGCCGCGUGAAGGAAGAAGGCUUUCGGGUUGUAAACUUCUUUUGACAGGGAAGAGCAUGAAGACGGUACCCCUUGAAUAAGCCACGGCUAACCAC
rnacentral:rRNA from 1 species